CGGCGGACGGGUGAGUAACGCGUGGGUAACCUACCCUGUACACACGGAUAACAUACCGAAAGGUAUGCUAAUACGGGAUAAUAUGUUUGAGAGGCAUCUCUUGAAUAUCAAAGGUGAGCCAGUACAGGAUGGACCCGCGUCUGAUUAGCUAGUUGGUAAGGUAACGGCUUACCAAGGCGACGAUCAGUAGCCGACCUGAGAGGGUGACCGGCCACAUUGGAACUGAGACACGGUCCAA
rnacentral:rRNA from 1 species